UUAACAUUGACUUCUAGUAAUUGUAGACUUUUAAAUGGAAUAAAUAUUAAAUAACAGUUAAAAAAUUAAAUACAAAAACAAAAUGAAGUCAACAACAGAUAAGAAGGCAAUUAUCAUAAUUAAUUAACAUAACAGAAUAUUACGUGUUAUAUGAAUUGGUUGAUAAUAGAAUAAUUAUCUUAGAUUAAAUGCCCAGAAAAGGGGAAAAAAUGCCUAAAACAAGUAAAGCUAUGAUAUUAUUUUGAUUCACCGAUUGUCGUUGGUUAUUACAGGACAGAUACGCCAAAGGAAAGUUUCUUCCGGAAAUUGACGAACAUCAAGAUUGGGAACUUCUGUGGUAUCAAAAGACCGAUACGCAUACAAAGUUUCGUUUUAAAAGAUUUCUCAUUCCUUGCGAUUCACAAGAUUUACACAUAACUGAUGAAACUACGAGAUUAAUAUUCGCCUACAAUGACGAAAAUCCUGGUUCUACGGGUGAGAUCUCAUAUCAUGGUCCAAAAAAUAGAGGAACCAAGAGUGUUACUUUAAAGAAGUAUGAGAGGGGUGUAUUGCUAGAAAAUCCUAGCGAUCUGUAUCACUGGGAAGUCACACAUUCAAACGUGCGAAUUCCUGAUAAUAGUGAUACUGAAUACUACUGCAAAUUUUUCAGAGUACCUGAAUUAAGUCGAAAACAUCACAUUGUUAAAGUGGAUACAGUUAUCGAACCGGGAAACGAAAAACUUGUACAUCAUAUGAUAUUAUAUGAGUGUACAAACGUCGAGACGGAAAAAAUAGCGCCUUAUUUAAAUGAAGAAUACACUGAAUGUUAUACUAAAGAUAACUUGCCGAAAUUUCCAUUUUGUUUUACUG